AUUGAACGCUGGCGGCAUGCCUUACACAUGCAAGUCGAACGGUAACAGGUCUUCGGAUGCUGACGAGUGGCGAACGGGUGAGUAAUACAUCGGAACGUGCCCGAUCGUGGGGGAUAACGAGGCGAAAGCUUUGCUAAUACCGCAUACGAUCUACGGAUGAAAGCAGGGGACCGCAAGGCCUUGCGCGAACGGAGCGGCCGAUGGCAGAUUAGGUAGUUGGUGGGAUAAAAGCUUACCAAGCCGACGAUCUGUAGCUGGUCUGAGAGGACGACCAGCCACACUGGGACUGAGACACGGCCCAGACUCCUACGGGAGGCAGCAGUGGGGAAUUUUGGACAAUGGGCGAAAGCCUGAUCCAGCCAUGCCGCGUGCAGGAUGAAGGCCUUCGGGUUGUAAACUGCUUUUAUACGGAACGAAAAGACUCUGGUUAAUACCUGGGGUCCAUGACGGUACCGUAAGAAUAAGCACCGGCUAACUACGUG
rnacentral:rRNA from 1 species